AAGUCGUAACAAGGUAACCGUAGGUGAACCUGCGGUUGGAUCAUUAUUGAUUUUAUUAUCUUUAAUUUCAGUGAGGGCUUACUCUUAAGACUUUUAUUAGUUUGUAAGUCUUCACUGAUUUAACAAUUUGUGCACUGUAACGUAAAGUUCGUUGGUGGAUUUAUUUCUACCUUCGAUCAUUUUUAUUUAACCUUUUAAUCCAAUUUGUAGUAACCUAUUUUUUCUAAGAAAAAAGAUUAAACAACUUUUGACAACGGAUCUCUAGGCUCUC
rnacentral:misc_RNA from 1 species